GAAUAGCUAUCUACAAGCAAGAAACAUCUGUUUAGUAUCAGACACCAGGAAUCUAUUUGUUAUUAGGAUGGCAAAGUAUUAGAAAAUUUAGACUUUGGAGAUUUCAUUCUAGGACUGAUUCUAGAUCAGCAGAAAUACUUAAAGCAACAGUCUAAUAAAAGCACUGCUUCCCAAUGUAUUUGUGUGCACCCUCAGAAUAAACAGAGGAAUGGUACUUUUUGGUCCUUAUCACUUAAAAGCUAAACUAAUAAAAAUAAAUAAAUAACAUGCACUUUGUUAUUCCUGCAGAUCCUAGUGCAUCUGAUAUCAAGAACAAGCAUUAACUUAAGAGUAAAAGCAAGUAAGAAAACAUAAAACUUGC
rnacentral:lncRNA from 1 species